rnacentral:rRNA from 1 species
GGGUUGUGAGGUUAAGCGACUAAGCGUACACGGUGGAUGCCCUGGCAGUCAGAGGCGAUGAAGGACGUGCUAAUCUGCGAUAAGCGUCGGUAAGGUGAUAUGAACCGUUAUAACCGGCGAUUUCCGAAUGGGGAAACCCAGUGUGAUUCGUCACACUAUCAUUAACUGAAUCCAUAGGUUAAUGAGGCGAACCGGGGGAACUGAAACAUCUAAGUACCCCGAGGAAAAGAAAUCAACCGAGAUUCCCCCAGUAGCGGCGAGCGAACGGGGAGCAGCCCAGAGCCUGAAUCAGUGUGUGUGUUAGUGGAAGCGUCUGGAAAGGCGUGCGAUACAGGGUGACAGCCCCGUACACAAAAAUGCACAUACUGUGAGCUCGAUGAGUAGGGCGGGACACGUGGUAUCCUGUCUGAAUAUGGGGGGACCAUCCUCCAAGGCUAAAUACUCCUGACUGACCGAUAGUGAACCAGUACCGUGAGGGAAAGGCGAAAAGAACCCCGGCGAGGGGAGUGAAAAAGAACCUGAAACCGUGUACGUACAAGCAGUGGGAGCACAGAGCAAUCUGUG